UUAGAGUUUGAUCAUGGCUCAGAACGAACGCUGGCGGCAUGCCUAAUAUAUGCAAGUCGAACGCUCACCGGGUUUCGGCCGGGUGGGAGUGGCGGACGGGUGAGUAGCGCGUGGGAACCUGCCCUGUUGUGGGGGAUAACCGAGGGAAACUUCGGCUAAUACCGCAUACGCCCGGAGUGAUCCGGGGAAAGAUUGAUCGCAGCAGGAGGGGCCCGCGUCGGAUUAGGUAGUUGGUGGGGUAACGGCCUACCAAGCCGGUGAUCCGUAGCUGGUCUGAGAGGAUGAUCAGCCACACUGGGACUGAGACACGAGCUAGACUCCUACGGGAGGCAGCAAUGGGGAAUAUUGGACAAUGGGCGCAAGCCUGAUCCAGCAAUGCCGCGUGAGUGAUGAAGGCCUUAGGGUUGUAAAGCUCUUUCGGCGGGGACGAUGAUGACGGUACCCGCAGAAGAAGCCCCGGCUAACUUCGUGCCAGCAGCCGCGGUAAUACGAAGGGGGCGAGCGUUGUUCGGAUUUACUGGGCGUAAAGGGCGCGUAGGCGGCGGUCCAAGUCGAGUGUGAAAGCCCCGGGCUCAACCUGGGAGGUGCGCUCGAGACUGGUUCGCUGGAGUUCGGGAGAGGAGCGUGGAAUUCCCAGUGUAGAGGUGAAAUUCGUAGAUAUUGGGAAGAACACCGGUGGCGAAGGCGGCGCUCUGGACCGAGACUGACGCUGAGGCGCGAAAGCGUGGGGAGCAAACAGGAUUAGAUACCCUGGUAGUCCACGCUGUAAACGAUGUGUGCUAGACGUUGGGGAGCCUAGCUCUUCGGUGUCGCCGCUAAC
rnacentral:rRNA from 1 species